AAGCGGUAGGUAAAGAGGAAUGUCAGCUUUAUUCCACCAGCGAAUUACGUCUGCCGCUCGAUGUCCUGACGAGGUGAUUGGGUCUAAACUCUUAUCACUGGUGGCAAAGUGAUAAUUUGCGCACGCUGGUUUUCUGGAUUGCAGGCGGGCCGCCUAUUUCUUUCACGUCGUUCAAUAGGAGGCGCCGCUGAAUUCUUAUAUUGACACUAGGAUGAGCGCGCUUUUCCUCGGGGGGCUGCCGUUGUCGGAGAGCUGGCUAGUUUGGGGUGCGGUGUCCUUUUGUGUAGCGAGCUCUCUUCCUUCCUUUGGCUCCUGAAGAUCCUUUGAAAUGUUGGGACGUCAGCUCCCUGAUUUCUCUGAAGCCGAGGGAGUAUAUUCAGAUAACGAGGGAACAGCCAUUAGGUGGUAUCGCCGACGGAGCCGAAGGCGAUUCCACCGAGAGAUAAAAGGAGGAGGUCCGCGAUGACACCCAGUGGGGGCUGCAAUACUGUAACACAGAUCCAGCUACGUGCUGUUGUGUAGGUGGGGCCUCUCUUUAUGGACUACUUGGCGUCGUUCGAGCGCCCUCUCAUGCAGAACAUUAGUUGUAUAAUAAGCUCAUGGUGAAUAUCGAUUUGGUCGCUAGAAGUCGAAAUUGAUGGCACACAAUCAGCGCAGAACAUCAAUGAAUAUGCUGUUUGGUAGGAAAAAGUUUCCACUCAAGGAUUGCAGGGCUCAGAUCAGCCUGCCUCAAAGAACACACAAAAACUGUGACUUCACUCCCACAUCUAGGAGGCGGCAAACAACCAGGAGCCAGGAGGGGAAGCAGCAGAGUGAGCACUGGAAGGCAGCACUGCUGAAGGCCACAGUUGAUUAGAUCCAUCCAUUCCAGCUAGAGAUUUCAUGUGGCUUAAAAAGGGCCUGGAUUUUUAACCGGUGGGACAGUGAACCUUUGCUGACUUUGACAGACUCUAGGAACUCUUUUGAGAAUCUUUGUGGACUUAUUUUUAAACAGCCAUGAUUUCUGUUGGCCUUUUGUUCCUUUUGCAACCUUUAUAUGCAACAAAUGGAUAUGGGAUAGGCUAGGACAGGGGUGUCAAACUGCCAGCCCGUGGGCCGGUUUCAUACUGAAACCGCGCCCACCACAUUGCCAGCAAUGCAAAAAGAGCCGUGAUACGUCGCGACACAUCACGUGAUGUGGCGAGUUUGACACCUGUGGGCUAGGAGAACAAUACUCCUGUUCAGCUCAAGCUUUAUGUGAUCAAAAAUGUUGGCCUGCAAAAUAAAACUUGUAGGAUUUUCUCCUUGUCAACACUCGCCCCCCAAAUGUAGGUAAAGGAUAUCCUCUUUUUCCUAUGCCCCCAAGUAUGAUUGUUGACAAGCUCCUCUCAUCCCCUCCCAUUUUGUAGACAGGAUUUUAAUAUUUAACUGAAUUUGUUGCAAAUGUGUAUUUUGUUUUUGAAAUCUUUCUUAAUGACACAUCAAACAGCUGUAAGAAACCUCAGGAUGAAUUAACUUCUCAGAAAAAUAAUAGUAUUGAAAACAAAGCUGGCCUUAGAUCAGUUGUUAGUGGAACAUUAGGGAUAUGUGUCUGCAUGUAUAUUAAUCAAAGCUGCUUUCAUUUUUCAUGAAAGCUGUAUAUUAAUCAAAGCUGCUUUCAUUUUUCAUGAAAACUUAAUUACACAACAGAAAUUAGCUACAAUAAUUUCUCCCUGACAAAAAACAGGGAAACUUUUCAAGAAAAUCAAAACACUUGGGACUUGGAUGACAGAUUGGAGUGGGUAAAACAUUACUGCUUAUAAGAAUUCGGCUAUGACUGCCCUUGCCCUGCUUGGAUGUUGUCUUCUUAAAUGUACCCCUUCAAUGUCUGCAACCCAGUGUUGCCAUUAUUCUUAGUUUUGCCCCACAGAAUACUCCAACCAUAAAUCCCAUACUGUGUCAAAUGUUCAUUGCUCAGUUGCUUAAUUAAUGCAAGUGUAGUUUAGCAAAUUAAUAUUUUGAGAAGCAAAUAGGGAAUUUGUUACCUGGAGCUUUAUGCUUCAUUAUUAGCAUUUUAAUAAAGGUGAUAUUAAGCACUUUAGCAUAGCAUCCAUGUUUUCUUUUGAAGUUUAGGAAACCAUGUUUUUUCUCUGAGCCAAAACUGUUUCCUUUGCUGAAGUCAUUGAGUGUUCCCCUGGGUGGGAAAAGAGGAGAUGCAACAUAUUUUAAGGGUAUCUCUUUUUUCAUUUCUAAUCAAUGGCUUUUGUAGUUUAUGCUUCCACUCUUGGAAUUCCCUCUACAUAAACCCUAGGUUUCUUUUUUAUUUUUUGGUAAUCUUUCAUUUUUCUACAAAGACUCAAAAAAGCACACAUUCAGAUUCUCCAUUUUGUUUCCAGAACAGAAGUUUAAUCUAAUAUACAUAUUCCUAGGUACAAUAAUAACCAGAAUAUGCCUAUUGAAAAAGUUAAAAGGUACUUUCUCUCCGAGCUUUGAUCAGCUUUGAGUUCCAAAUAAAAGCAAAUGUUCAUCAUUUCUACACAAAACUAGAGUUUAAAAAGUUGAGGUUCAAUGAAGAGAAAGAAGACAGCAACAGUCAUCAAAAACAGGAAAGCAGAAAUUCCAGUAGGACUUACUGUUGCUGAUCUGGGAACUGCACCAAGUGCCUGCUAGAAAGGAAACAACACAGAAAGCCCCUCCAACUAGAAGUCCAAAAGGCUGUGCUGCAGGUUCUUCAGUCACUCCUGGAUAUAACUUAUUAAUUCAGAACUGGCCAGAAGGACAUGUCAUCUUCAGGCAGAGGUCAAUCGUUAGCCCAAGGUUUAAGAUAAAAGAGAAUCUUACCCCUCUACCAAAAUCACACUGCCAUAGUAUUGCAGAGUAGGAUUACCUACAUAUAAAAUUCCACAGGAAACAAAGAUAACCAACUGACAUUAAGGAGUAAGGAAGAGGCAAACGUAUAUGGUCAAGGAGUUCUUGAUUUCCCCUAUAACGUACUGGGACGGAGAACCCCAUUACACACAAUUAGAGGAUGUGAACAUGCAGAACAGGAUCCAACGUCCACAGAAACUAAAGACUUGUCACCUAAGGAAUCAAACAUAUAUUAAGGUCACAUAUAGAAUCAAUACCUUUCCCCACACAGCAACUUAGCUCUGCUUCUACCCUCCCAGCUUACGUUCGGGCUCAAAAUGAUCCCUGCAUUCACAACUUUCACUAGAACCUCAUAUUCAUAACUCUCACCAAAACAUCAUCUACAGCCUGAACUGCAACAGAGCAAGUGCAUGUUUUCUCCUUGUCAGGAGAGUGUGUCUUUGGAAAAACUUGCAUUUACUGGAAGGUUAAGGACAAUUCUUUUUUGCUUCUUUUUUUUU